rnacentral:rRNA from 1 species
GACGAACGCUGGCGGCGUGCUUAACACAUGCAAGUCGAACGGAAAGGCCCUGCUCUUGUGGGGUGCUCGAGUGGCGAACGGGUGAGUAACACGUGAGUAACAUGCCCUUGACUUUGGGAUAACUUCAGGAAACUGGGGCUAAUACCGGACAGGAGCUCCUGCUGCAUGGGGGGGGUUGGAAAGUUUCGGCGGUUGGGGAUGGAAUCGCGGCUUAUCAGCUUGUUGGUGGGGUAGUGGCUUACAAAGGCUUUGACGGGUAGCCGGCCUGAGAGGGUGACCGGCCACAUUGGGACUGAGAUACGGCCCAGACUGCUACUGGAGGCAGCAGUGGGAAAUAUUGCACAAUGGGCGGAAGCCUGAUGCAACAACGCCGCGUGCGGGAUGACGGCCUGCGGGUUGUAAACCGCUUGCGCCUGUGACGAAGCUUGAGUGACGGUAAUUGGUAAAGAAGCACCGGCUAACUACGUG